AGAGUUUGAUCAUGGCUCAGAUUGAACGCUGGCGGCAUGCUUUACACAUGCAAGUCGAACGGGGUGAGGGGGCAACUCCUCAUUCAGUGGCGAACGGGUGAGUAAUGCAUCGGAACGUGUCCCGUAGUGGGGGAUAACGCCGCGAAAGCGGCGCUAAUACCGCAUAUGCUCUACGGAGGAAAGUGGGGGACCUGCAAGGGCCUCACGCUAUGGGAGCGGCCGAUGUCCGAUUAGCUAGUUGGUGGGGUAAUGGCUUACCAAGGCGACGAUCGGUAGCUGGUCUGAGAGGAUGAUCAGCCACACUGGGACUGAGACACGGCCCAGACUCCUACGGGAGGCAGCAGUGGGGAAUUUUGGACAAUGGGGGCAACCCUGAUCCAGCCAUGCCGCGUGCGGGAAGAAGGCCUUCGGGUUGUAAACCGCUUUUAGCCGGGAAGAAAAGGCUUGGGCUAAUACCCUGAGUUUUUGACGGUACCGGCGGAAUAAGCACCGGCUAACUACGUGCCAGCAGCCGCGGUAAUACGUAGGGUGCGAGCGUUAAUCGGAAUUACUGGGCGUAAAGCGUGCGCAGGCGGUUCGUUGUGUCUGUGGUGAAAGCCCCGGGCUUAACCUGGGAAUGGCCAUGGAAACUGGCGGACUGGAGUGUGGCAGAGGGGGGUGGAAUUCCGCGUGUAGCAGUGAAAUGCGUAGAGAUGCGGAGGAACACCGAUGGCGAAGGCAGCCCCCUGGG
rnacentral:rRNA from 1 species